rnacentral:rRNA from 1 species
UACGAAGGGGGCUAGCGUUGUUCGGAUUUACUGGGCGUAAAGGGCGCGUAGGCGGAUUUUUAAGUCAGGGGUGAAAUCCCAAGGCUCAACCUUGGAACUGCCUUUGAUACUGGGAAUCUUGAGUCCGGGAGAGGUGAGUGGAACUGCGAGUGUAGAGGUGAAAUUCGUAGAUAUUCGCAAGAACACCAGUGGCGAAGGCGGCUCACUGGCCCGGUACUGACGCUGAGGUGCGAAAGCGUGGGGAGCAAACAGG